CCUACGGGAGGCAGCAGUGGGGAAUAUUGGACAAUGGGCGAAAGCCUGAUCCAGCAAUGCCGCGUGUGUGAAGAAGGCCUGCGGGUUGUAAAGCACUUUCGGUAGGAAAGAAAAGACUGUCGCUAAUACCGGCGGUUCUUGACGUUACCUACAGAAGAAGCACCGGCUAAUUCCGUGCCAGCAGCCGCGGUAAUACGGAAGGUGCGAGCGUUAAUCGGAAUUACUGGGCGUAAAGCGCGCGUAGGUGGUUCGGUAAGUCGGGUGUGAAAGCCCUGGGCUCAACCUGGGAAUUGCAUUCGAUACUGUCGAGCUAGAGUGUGGUAGAGGGGGGUGGAAUUCCAGGUGUAGCGGUGAAAUGCGUAGAUAUCUGGAGGAACACCAGUGGCGAAGGCGGCCCCCUGGACCAACACUGACACUGAGGUGCGAAAGCGUGGGUAGCAAACAGGAUUAGAUACCCUGGUAGUCCACGCCGUAAACGAUGUCAACUAGCCGUUGGAUCCGCUUUAAGGGUUUAGUGGCGCAGCUAACGCGAUAAGUUGACCGCCUGGGGAGUACGGCCGCAAGGUUAAAACUCAAAGGAAUUGACGG
rnacentral:rRNA from 1 species